rnacentral:lncRNA from 1 species
UGGCCGGAAUGUUCCUUGCUGCUGAUGCAUUGGCCUCAUCUGGAGGUCCUCUUUGACACCUACCCUACUCUCUCCCUCCACUCACACUCUUAGAACUGUGCUCAGGGGCAGCGCUACAACUUCAAACACUGGUCUUCACAGGGCUUGAGUGAUUCUUUCAAGAACAGAACGCUGUGUGGAGGUUGUUGUUACUGAAACCUUUACCAUAUUUCAUUGCAUCUAAGACACAUUUUUUUGUGUGUGUGAUUUAACAUCUCUAAGGUUGGGUUAUGUUUCUUCAUCAUUGUCAGGUUAGAGUUUAAUUAGCAGCACUUUUUUUUUCCUUAGUGUCACACACAGUAAUGGUGAUGUAUCUCACAAUUGAGAUGGUCUUAGAUCUGAUGGAAUAUGGAAUCGUGUACCUGUUACAAGCCAGGCUUUUGUCUGGGUUCUACAGACAGUGGAACUCAAGACAGUACCAUCCUCUAGUGGUGUUCACAGCCCACCACAGUGGAGUCAGGACUUUGAAGUCCUCCAUUGGAUCUGCUUGGAAGAUGAGAGAAAUGAGAGAGUAUGGAGAGAGGUUUUGUAAGUCGUGUCUGGAAGAGGUCAUUAUUCAGAAUCCAGCCACAUGGCUACAUGGAACUGUAAUAAUAUAUUCUGUGGACACUACAGAUGCAGACUAAAUCACAUGCAAAGAGAAUCUGUCAGCCCUAACAAUAAGAAUGGCUCUUGUAUGAUGAGCAGGUGAGACCAGGUAAUCACCGAAGAAGGAGAGUGGUGUGUUCAUUGAAGUCUACUCAUGGAGGAAAGAAGGUAGGCAGAAAAUCAACAGGUUUUCAAAAAUAUAUGCAAAACAGGCUUUGGGGAGAAUGCCAACCCUCAGUUAACCUAAGUCCCAGUCUUGGGUACAGGUAUGCCGGUCAACUCAUGUCCCACAAAAAUGGAAACUGGGCAGAGGCUGGAAAACAGCAGCCCCAAGAUACAGGUUCCUGGUUCAUAAGAGGCAGGAGGAAAGCUGACACUAGCCCUUCCUGAAAAGAGAAAAUGAGGGUAUCCAAUAGACAGCACGUGGUAUCUGCGAUGAAUGUGGUGAUUCUGGCCAGGUACAAAAGUCUACUGUGUCAUGUGGGAGACCUUAUUAUGAAAAGGAUAUUGUGCCACUGGCGAG